rnacentral:lncRNA from 1 species
UCUCGCUUUAUAAAUACAUUAGGUCGAUUCAUGGAAAAAAACAAUAAAGUUUAUAAUAUAUUUGAAUCAUAGUUCCCGUUCUCAACAACCACUGUUUUAGUAAAGGUGAUUAGAGUUAAUAACUGAGAAAUCAACUUGGAGACUCAAACUUUUGAAAUGAACACAACUGUGCCAAAUAUUGGUCCAAAUUAUUCUCAUGAUAAAGAUAACAAGUGUGUAGUUAAUGGUUGUAACUACCAAAGAUUAAAGGAUUUGAAAUAUUGCGAAAAUCACAAGGGUAUGGCAGAUAAAGUGUAGUAACAUGAUGUCUUAAAAUGUGAUAAACAUUGUAAAGUUAUAAUUAGUUCUAAUAUAAUGUAUCAAGGUAUUA